rnacentral:tRNA from 1 species
CUGGUAGCUCAGAUAGGAAAGAAUCUGCCUGCAAAGCAGGAGACCUAGGUUCAAUCCCUGGUCAG